rnacentral:rRNA from 1 species
CCAAGGAGUCUAACAUGUGCGCGAGUCAUUGGGUGUCAAACCUAAAGGCGAAAUGAAAGUAAAGGCCGACUUGAUUGGCUGAUAUGGGAUCCGUUCGGUUACGGCCGAGCGGCGCACCAUAGCCCCGUCUCGACUGCUUGCAGUGGGGCGGAGGCAGAGCGUACACGUUGGGACCCGAAAGAUGGUGAACUAUGCCUGAGCAGGACGAAGCCAGAGGAAACUCUGGUGGAGGUCCGAAGCGGUUCUGACGUGCAAAUCGAUCGUCAGACUUGGGUAUAGGGGCGAAAGACUAAUCGAACC